rnacentral:misc_RNA from 1 species
AAGGAUCAUUAAAGAAAUUUAAUUGAUUUGUCUGAGCUCGGAGAGAGACAUCUCUGGGGAGGACCAGUGUAGACACUCAGGAGGCUCCUAAAAUAUUUUCUCUGCUGUGAAUGCUAUUUCUCCUGCCUGCGCUUAAGUGCGCGGUUGGUGGGUGUUCUGCAGUGGGGGGAGGGAGCCGACAAAGACCUGGGAGUGUGCGUGGAUCUCUCUAUUCCAAAGGAGGUGUUUUAUCACACGACUCGACACUUUCUAAUUACUACACACAGUGGAGUUUACUUUACUACUAUUCUUUUGUUCGUUGGGGGAACGCUCUCUUUCGGGGGGGAGUUCUCCCAGUGGAUGCAAACACAAACAAAUAUUUUUUUAUUUUAACUAAUUCAGUCAACACAAGAUUUCUUUUAAUAAAAAACAACUUCAAAACUUUCAACAAUGGAUCUCUUGGUUCUCGCAUCGAUGAAGAACGCAGCGAAAUGCGAUACGUAAUGUGAAUUGCAGAAUUCCGUGAAUCAUCGAAUCUUUGAACGCACAUUGCGCCCUCUGGUAUUCCGGGGGG